rnacentral:rRNA from 1 species
AUUGAACGCUGGCGGCAGGCCUAACACAUGCAAGUCGAGCGGAUGAAGGGAGCUUGCUCCUGGAUUCAGCGGCGGACGGGUGAGUAAUGCCUAGGAAUCUGCCUGGUAGUGGGGGAUAACGUCCGGAAACGGGCGCUAAUACCGCAUACGUCCUGAGGGAGAAAGUGGGGGAUCUUCGGACCUCACGCUAUCAGAUGAGCCUAGGUCGGAUUAGCUAGUUGGUGGGGUAAAGGCCUACCAAGGCGACGAUCCGUAACUGGUCUGAGAGGAUGAUCAGUCACACUGGAACUGAGACACGGUCCAGACUCCUACGGGAGGCAGCAGUGGGGACUAUUGGACAAUGGGCGAAAGCCUGAUCCAGCCAUGCCGCGUGUGUGAAGAAGGUCUUCGGAUUGUAAAGCACUUUAAGUUGGGAGGAAGGGCAGUAAGUUAAUACCUUGCUGUUUUGACGUUACCAACAGAAUAAGCACCGGCUAACUUCGU